UUGAUAUUCAUUCUAAACCGGUAAGGAGAGUUAUCAAUCUGAUCUCCCAUAAGGAGCUCCCCAAGAUUCUCAGCACUUUUUUUUAUUCCACCAUUUGGCUUGCAAUAAGGUAGACUAUAGUAACUAAAGGGAAGCUCGGUUUCAAUAGAAGUUAAGGAAUUAACUUUGGCAAAUAUCCGUUCACCAUUGGAAUACGUGUGCAUAUAGCUACCAGGCAGAUAAAACGCAUUGCAAGCAUGCACAAAGAGAACCACCAAAAGGGAAGCCCAGUAAAUGGUGGGCAUCCUCAUUUUCGACAUCAAUGAGAAAGCCACUAAAUUAAGCAGAUCUUUGAAUCAGAACUCGAUCUAAGUUAACCUGAAGCAGAUCUGGAGAGGUGAAGACAGUCCUAGUGGAAACAAGUCGGAUCCGAAAUCCGCGAUGCCGCCUCGAACAGCGUGAAUAGAAAGCAGAACCAGAACCCUCUGCGUUUCUCUGUGGGAAAGUUCUGAUUUUCCUACUUGAUGCGAGGAAGAG
rnacentral:misc_RNA from 1 species